AGAGAAUCAGUCAUUAUUUCAAGAUUAUAACAUUCAUUCUUACAAUAAUGGUCUAGUAUAUUUUUACUUCAAAUGAUCAUUUAACACAAACAACUUUAUCGUAAACGAUUCAAUAAUACCUUUAAACUAAGUCGACUCUAUUUAAUGGUUAGGGAAUCCCUAUCACGUACCAUUAAUGUACAUACAUGUACGAACCAAAGUAGUAACAAUAUAAACGUGCAGGAGCGUUACAAAAUUGACGUCGUAAGGGCACCUAUAUAAUGCAGAAACAUAUAAUAUAAUUUUGACAUUCGUUAGAAAAACAAAAUUUCUGAUACAUACACACACACACACGCACACGCGCGCACGUUUUAUUCUGGAUAUGUAUAGCAGUAUUAUACUUAUUACAGUAAUUAAUUCUAUUAAAGAUAGAAAGAAAGAGAUGUUGAGAUUGAAGAAUGAUUAAAAAAUAAAAAAUUUUAGAUAAGAUCUUGUUAGAAUAGAUUUAUGGUUGAUAUAAAGCUGAAAUAUGAUUCCUCUUUUAUGUAUCUUCCAUUAUCUCUCAAAUGCAUUAUUAUGUAAUAUUAUUAACAGAAAUUUAUUAUAUGUUGAGAAUUUGUAAAUGUAUUGAAUAUAUGAUAAUGAUUGUCUCACUAUUUAA